GGAAGUAGUACGACUCAUAGAUACUAUGUCUCUAUUUGGCUGGUGUUGGGGAAAAAACCUGAGCUGCUGGCCAAGGAAAUGAUCCCCUGUGCAAAUCUGGCAUCCAGAUGAGUGUAUCUUCAGAGGUCAUCCACUUCUGCAACUGUCCCAGGUGCUCAUGGUGACCAGAAGAGAGUAUUGAAUCCCCUGGAACUGGAAUUACAGACAGCUGUGAGCCACUUGAUCUGGGUCCUGGGAACUGAACCCAGGUCCUCUUCGAGAGACCCCAAUGCUCUUAACUGCCCCAACUUGAACAGCAACCCUUCUUCGGUGAGAUAAAGAAGUUUGCCCUAGACAUUUGUCCUAUCCUAGUCUGAAGAUGGACUUACUGGCUACAAAGUGGCCUCACCCUUUGCCACUGGCAGGAUCAAGGUAACA
rnacentral:lncRNA from 1 species